rnacentral:rRNA from 1 species
GGAUUAGAUACCCUGGUAGUCCACGCCGUAAACGAUGUCAACUAGCUGUUGGGUCUAUUAAUGAUUCGGUGGCGUAGCUAACGCGCUAAGUUGACCGCCUGGGGAGUACGGUCGCAAGAUUAAAACUCAAAGGAAUUGACGGGGGCCCGCACAAGCGGUGGAGCAUGUGGUUUAAUUCGAUGCAACGCGAAAAACCUUACCUACCCUUGACAUCAUCAGAACUUGUUAGAGAUAACUCGGUGCCUUCGGGAACUGAUUGACAGGUGCUGCAUGGCUGUCGUCAGCUCGUGCCG